rnacentral:rRNA from 1 species
GCCGGAACACAAGCCCAACAACAACACACCAAACCACCACCACCCCAAAACCAAAACAUUUGACAAAGCCAGUAGAUGCGAUCGAACCCAAAACCACUUGAAGCAAUAGAGAAAGUACUGUAAAGGAAAAUUGAAAGAAUAUGAAAACCACAAAGCACAAAACAGCAGAGACUAACACUCGUACCUCUUGCAUCAUGGUCUAGCAAGUAAACACAGACACGGAGACCCCCAGCCUGCCAUCCCGAAAACAAGCGAGCUAUUUCCAAGCAGUUGUAAGAACGAACUCGUUUCUGUAGCAAAAGAAUGAGAAGACUUGAAAAUAGAGGUGAAAAGCCAAACGAGCUUGUUGAUAGCUGGUUGCCUGAUUAAUGAGUUUAAGCUCAGCCCUAAGGCCACUAAGCCCAUACCAAAAUAAUGCCACAAGCAGCCCUAGGACAUAGUCAAUGAGGGAACAGCCACAUUGACCCAGGAUACAGCCUAAAACAGAGAGAAAGCCACCCACCACCCCCAGACAACGUGGGCCUCAAAGCAGCCAUCAAUAAACAGCUCGUCACAGAAACAACCGCAAAAAUCCAGCCACAAUCAACGACCUCCUGAACCAAAACAGGCCAUUCUAUAAUACAAUAGAAGAGAUACUGCUAGAACUAGUAAUAUGAGAGACUCUCCAACGAACACAAACGGAUACACGCCUACACAGACCAAAAAAGGAAAUAUGAAACACUAUUCACAAGCACAUAAAACAAACUGUAACCCCGACCCAGGAGUGUUCAAGAAGACUAAAAACCGGAGAAGGAACUCGGCAAAUAUCUUUCCAGCUGUUUACCAAAAACAUAGCCACUAGCCAACAAAAGUAUUAGAGGUAACACCUGCCCAGUGAGUGAACCACUUUAACGGCCGCGAGAACCAACCGCGCGAAGGUAGCAUAAUCACUUGUCCCCUAAAUAGGGACUAGAAUGAAAGGUUGCAUGAGAAAGAAACUGUCUCCUCCGGCAGGUCGAUGAAACUGAUCUAUCAGUACGAAAGCUGAUAUACAAAAACAGGACAAAAAGACCCUGUGAAACUUUUAAACCUAAUCAAAACCAUCAUUGACCAAGGUUUUUAGUUGGGGCAACUAAGGAGAAACAAAACCUCCAUAACACUGCCAAGUCCAACAAGACAAAGCACAACACAAAAUCUGACCCAGUAUAACUGAUCAAAGAACCAAGCUACUCCAGGGAUAACAGCGCCACACUCUUUUAGAGUCCAUAUCAACAAGAGUACCCACGACCUCGAUGUUGGAUCAGGGAAACCUGGCGGUGAAAAAGCUGCCAAGGGCUCGUUUGUUCAACGAUUAAAACCCUACGUGAUCUGAGUUCAGACCGGAGCAAUCCAGGUCGGUCUAUAUCCGUUAUACCUUCUCCAGCCAGUACGAAAGGACCGUUUGGGGAAAGGCCAACCAAACACAGACGCCUUAAGCCUAACUACUGAAUCCAACUAAAAUAGAACACCACACCAACCAACCUCAAGAAAAGAGGAGCCAAUGUGACUUCCUUCUAC